rnacentral:rRNA from 1 species
GACAGCGGGGCAAGCGUUGCUCGGAAUCACUGGGCGUAAAGGGCGCGUAGGCGGCCCGCUAAGUCGAACGUGAAAUCCCCGAGCUCAACUCGGGAACUGCGUCCGAUACUGGCGGGCUUGAAUCCGGGAGAGGGAUGCGGAAUUCCAGGUGUAGCGGUGAAAUGCGUAGAUAUCUGGAGGAACACCGGUGGCGAAGGCGGCAUCCUGGACCGGCAUUGACGCUGAGGCGCGAAAGCUAGGGGAGCAAACGGG